UGGUGUAGCGAUGAAAUGCGCAGAUAUCAGGAGGAACACUGGUGGCGAAGGAUGUAUCUCUGGGCUGAUACUGACGCUGAGGAGAGAAAGCGUGGGGAGCGAACAGGAUUAGAUACCUUGGUAGUCCACGCUGUAAACGGUGGGCACUAGGUGUGGGCAACAUUCCACGUUGUCCGUGCCGCAGCUAACGCAUUAAGCGCCCCUCCUGAGUGAGUACGGCCGCAAGGCUACAACUCAAAGUAAUUGACGGGGGCCCGCACAAGCGGCGGAGCAUGUGGCUUAAUUCGACGCAACGCGAAGAACCUUACCAAGGCUUGACAUACACCGGAAACGGCCAGAGAUGGUCGCCCCCUUGUGGUCGGUGUACAGGUGGUGCAUGGCUGUCGUCAGCUCGUGUCGUGAGAUGUUGGGUUAAGUCCCGCAACGAGCGCAACCCUUAUCCUGUGUUGCCAGCGGAUCCCUUCGGGGGUGCCGGGGACUCACGGGAGACUGCCGGGGUCAACUCGGAGGAAGGUGGGGACGACGUCAAGUCAUCAUGCCCCUUAUGUCUUGGGCUGCACACGUGCUACAAUGGCCGGUACAAUGAGCUGCGAUACCGCGAGGUGGAGCGAAUCUCAAAAAGCCGGUCUCAGUUCGGAUUGGGGUCUGCAACUCGACCCCAUGAAGUCGGAGUCGCUAGUAAUCGCAGAUCAGCAUUGCUGCGGUGAAUACGUUCCCGGGCCUUGUACACACCGCCCGUCACGUCAUGAAAGUCGGUAACACCCGAAGCCGGUGGCCUAACCCCC
rnacentral:rRNA from 1 species